GCGGGUGUAGUUCAGUGGUAGAACGUCUGCUUGCCAAGCAGAAAGUCGUGGGUUCGAAUCCCAUCGCCCGCU
rfam:Anaerolineae bacterium SM23_ 63 WORSMTZ_107, whole genome shotgun sequence.